rnacentral:rRNA from 1 species
AGGGCAAGUCUGGUGCCAGCAGCCGCGGUAAUUCCAGCUCCAAUAGCGUAUAUUAAAGUUGUUGCAGUUAAAAAGCUCGUAGUUGAAUUUCGGGGUUCUACCGUUGGUCGGGCUUUGUCUGUACUGGCGUGUAGAAUUUCUACCUUCUGGGGAACCAUUAUGUUAUUAAUUUAGCGUAGUGGGAAACCAGGACCUUUACCUUGAAAAAAUUAGAGUGUUCGAAGCAGGCUUAUGUCUGAAUACAUUAGCAUGGAAUAAUAGAAUAGGACGGUGGUCCUGUUUUGUUGGUUUCUGAAUCACCGUAAUGAUUAAUAGGGAUAGUUGGGGGCAUUAGUAUUCAAUUGUCAGAGGUGAAAUUCUUGGAUUUAUUGAAGACUAACUUCUGCGAAAGCAUUUGCCAAGGAUGUUUUCAUUAAUCAAGAACGAAAGUUAGGGGAUCGAAGACGAUCAGAUACCGUCGUAGUCUUAACCAUAAACUAUGCCGACUAGGGAUCGGACGAUGUUAAUUUUUCUUGACUCGUUCGGCGCCUUACGGGAA